rnacentral:rRNA from 1 species
GGAGUUAGCCGGUGCUUCUUCUGUGAGUGAUGUCCUUCCUGCCGGCUAUUAACCCGCAGGCCUUCUUCCUCACUGAAAGUGCUUUACAACCCGAAGGCCUUCUUCACACACGCGGCAUGGCUGGAUCAGGGUUGCCCCCAUUGUCCAAUAUUCCCCACUGCUGCCUCCCGUAGGAGUCUGGGCCGUGUCUCAGUCCCAGUGUGGCUGAUCAUCCUCUCAGACCAGCUACGGAUCGUCGCCUUGGUGAGCCGUUACCUCACCAACCAGCUAAUCCGACAUAGGCUCAUCCGAUAGCGCGAGGCCCGAAGGUCCCCCGCUUUCCCCCGUAGGGCGUAUGCGGUAUUAGCCUGGGUUUCCCCAGGUUAUCCCCCACUACCGGGCAGAUUCCUAUGCAUUACUCACCCGUCCGCCGCUCGCCACCAGGGAGCAAGCUCCCCCGUGCUGCCGCCUCGACCUUCGUCACUGUGUUAGGUCCGUGCCGGCCGACGCGGUUCCAAUCUUGAGCCGACGGAGUCAAACUACUGA